GAAUGAUGUGGAAUCCGGGAUCUGAGAAUGAUGACAAAAAGCGCGAGCGCUGAUUAUA
rnacentral:snoRNA from 1 species